GUAUGCCGUGUGGCCGCUACCUCGCAGGCUCUCCCGGUCCCUGCUGGCGCGGCAGUGCCGCGCGGUGGGUGAUGGGAGAGCGCGCCCAUUCCCACGCCGCGCCAAGUGCCACGGGAUCAGGGCCGAGGCUGGACCCGGAGACGACAGCGAGGGCAGGCUACCAAGCCCUCCCCACAGGGCCGUGCCCAGCCCAAGCCUGCCGAGUCAGCACCCAGAUCCUGGGACAAGAUAGGUGAGGAUGAAGUGGUGGUGCUCUUCUCACUUGCACAAGCCGUCCCACGCCACCUCUCCUCGGCUUCACGGUGCCUAGAGAAGAGGUGGGAGAGGGUGCAGGCGCCCCAGCUCAGGAUCUGAUGCCUGUGGGCCAAGGACCUGGAUGCAAGCCAGGAGUCCUUGGGGCCACGGGCAGGCAGCCGGAUUCACCGGAAAGUGACGCUUCUCAAGGGGAACACACACGUAACACACCAGCUCCCUUUCUGCCCUGGUCCAGUGACUCCUUUCAUGAAAGCUCUCUGAAAUGUUAUCUGCAUUUACACCCAAACUCACUCACUUUGAUCCCUGAAACGCGAAUCAAAGGUCACAUUGUACCUUCCCUGGGUCUGUGGGGCUUUCAGCAGCCUGGGGCCCUCUCCUGUGUAUAACUGUCAUGCACCGCAUAACAACGUUUUGGUCAACUAGGGACCACAUAUGUAACUGGUCAUCCAGUAAGCUAUAGUUAUUUUAUUAUUGAAGAAAGAAAAUUUUUAGGCCAGGCGCUGUGGAGGCUCAUGCUUGUAAUCCCAGCAUUUUGGGAGCCCAAGGCGGGCAGCUCAUUUGAGGUCAGGAGUUUGAGACCAGCCUGGUCAACAUGGUGAAACCCUGUCUCUACCAAAAAUACAAAAAAUUAGCCGGGCGUGGUGGUAUGUGCCUGUAAUCCCAGCUACUUGGGAGGCUGAGGCAGGAGAAUCGCUUGAACCCAGGAGGCGGAGGUUGCAGUGAGCUGAGAUUGUGCUACUGCACUCCAGCCUGGGCAAUAGAGUGAGACUCCAUCUCAAAAAAAAAGGAAAAUGUUUAAUAUAAGUGUGUUGCAGCCUAAGUGUACAGUGUUUAUAAAGUCUAAAGUAGUGUACAAUAAUGUCUUAGGCCUUCACAUUCACUCACCACUCACACCCACAGCAACUUCCAGUCCUGCACCUCUGUUCAUGGCAAGUGCCCUAACCAGUUCUAUUUUUUAUUUUUUGCACUGUACUUUUACUGUACCUUUGCUAUGAUUAGGUGCACUAAUACCACUGUGUCACAAUUGCCUACAUUGUUCAGUAGAGUCACUGUGCAAGUUUGUAGCCCAGGAGCAACAGGCCUUACCAUACAGCCUAGGUGUGUAGUAGGCUCUACCAUCUUAGUUUGUGUAAGUUACUCUAUGAGGAUCCCUCCAUGACAAAAUCGCCUAGUGACACAUUUCUCAGAGUGUAUCCCCACAGUUAAGUGACAUAUGACUGUUUUUUUAUUGUGGUAAAAUAUAGUAACAUUUACCAUUUUAGCCAUUUUUAGGUAUACAGUUCAGGAGCAUUAAGUACAUUCAUGCUGUUGUAUAUCCAGUGAUCACUAUUUAUUUCUAGAACUUUUUCUUCACUCCAGAACAUUAACUCCUCUUCCCCUCCCACUCGCAACCCCUGGUAACCAUCAUUCUAUAUUCUGUCUCUGUGAAUUUAAUUACUCUAGGUACCUCAUAUAAGUGGAAUCAUACAGUAUUUAUCAUUUUGUGACUGGAUUAUUUCACUCAACAUGUUUUCAAGGUUCAUCCACAUCGUAGCAUGUGUCAGAACUUCCUUCAUUUUUAAGGCUGUGUAAUAUUCCUUUGUACACAUUGACCAGAUUUUGUUUAUUCAUUUGUUGAUUGACACUUGGGUUGUUUUCACCUUUUGGCUAUUGUGAAUAAUGCUGCUAUGAACAUUAGUGUACAAGUAUAUGUUUGAGUCCCUGCUUUCAGUACAUAAGAGUGAAAUUGCUGAAUGAUACGGUAAUAUUUUGUUUGACUUUUUGAGAGAUUGCCAAACUUUUCCAUAGCAAGUGAACCAUUUUACAUUCCCACCAACAGUGCACAGGAGUUCCAACUUCUCCACAUCCUCACCAACACUUGGUUACCUUCUCUUUUGUUUUUUUCCAAUAGCCAUCCUAACGGUAUGAAGUGGUGUCCCAUUGUGAUUUUAAUUUGCAUUUCUCUAAUGACUAGUGAGAUUGAGCAUCUUUUCCUGUUAUUGGCCAUUUGUAUAUCUUCACUGGAGAAAUGGCUAUUCAAGUCCUAUGCCCAUUUUUCACUGGAUUUUUGUUUUUAUUGUUGAGUUGUAAGAUUUUUCUAGAUAUUCUGGAUAUUAAUCCCUUGUCAGAUAUAUCAUUUGCAAGUAUUUCUCCAUAGGCUGCCUUUUCACUCUGUUGAUAGUGUCUUUUGAUACACAGAAGUUUUUCAUUUUCAUUAAAAUGUCAUUAACUUAAUUUCACUAAAUUAAUUUCAUUAAUUUCCAAGUCUAAUUUGUCUAUAUGUUGGUGGUAGUGGUGGUGUUAUAUCUAAAUCAUUGCCAAAUCCAGUGCUAUGAAGUUUUGCCCUAUGUUUUCUGCUAAGUUUUAUAGGUUUAGGUCUUUAUAUUUAGGACUUUGACCCAUUUUGAGUUCAUUUUUACAUACGGUGUUAGGUAGGGAUCCAGCUUCAUUCUUUUGCAUUUGAAUAUCCAGAUGUCCCAGCAUGAUUUGUUGAAGACUAUCCUUUCCCUAUCUUAGUACCCUUGUUGAAAAUCAUUUGACCAUAUAUGCAAGGGUUUAUUUCCAGGCUCUCUAGUCUGUUCCAUUGGUCUGUAUGUCUGUCUUUCUUUUUUCAGGAAAGUACAGUGUUCAAACUACACAGUCUUGAUUACUGUGGCUUUGUUUUAAAUUUUGAAAUCAGGAAGUGAGAAGCCUCUAAGUUUGUUCUUUUUCAAGAUGGUUUUGGCUAUUAGGAGUUCCUACAGAUUCCAUAUGAAUUUUAGGAUGGGUUUUAUCUUCCUUUCUUUUUUAUUUUUUUUAUUUUUUUUUUUGAGACAGAAUCUUGCUCUGUCGCCUAGGCUGGAGUGCAGUGGUGCAAUCUCGGCUCACUGCAACCUCUGCCUCCCAGGUUCACGCCAUUCUCCUGCCUCAGCCUCCUGAGUAGCUGGGACUACAGGCACCCGCCACCACGCCUGGCUAAUUUUUUUUAUUUUUAGUAGAGACAGGGUUUCACCGUGUUAGCCAGGAUGGUCUUGAUCUCUUGACCUCGUGAUCCACCCAUCUCGGCCUCCCAAAGUGCUGGGAUUACAGGCGUGAGCCACCGUGCCCGGCCUUUUUUUUUUUUUUUUUAAACUAGACACAGGGUCUCCCCUGUCACCCAGACUAGAGUUUAGUAGCCUGAUAAUAGCUCACUGCUGCCUCAAAUUCUUGGGCUCAAGUGAUCCUCCUGCCUCAACCUCUAAAGUACCUAUGACUACAGACAUGUGCUACCACACCUGGCUUUUUGUUGUUGUUGUUGUUAAAGCUAGGGUCUCGUUAUAUUGCCCAGGCUGGUCUUGAACUCCUAGGCUUGGCAAAAUAUUGGGAUUACAGGCAUGAACAACCGAACCUGGCCUGUGAUAGGUUUUUAUAUUUCUAAAAAAACACUGUUGGGAUGUUAAUAGGAUUGCAUUGCCUCUGAUGACCACUUUGGGUAGUACUGACAUGUGAACAAUAUUAAACUUUCCAACACAGGAUGUCUUUCCAUUUAAUUGUGUCUUUAAAUGGAUAUAAUUGAACACAGGAUGUCUUUCCAUUUAAUUAUGUCUUCUUUAAUUUCUUUCAACAAUAUUUUGUAGUUUUCUGUGUACAAGUCUUUCACCUCCUUGGUUAAUUCCUAUGUAUUUUAUUCUUUUUGAUGCUAUUUAAAUGAAACUGCUAAUUUCCUUCAUGAAGUGUUCACUGCUAGUACUAUAUAGAAAUGCAACUGAUUUCUGUGUGUUGAUUUUGUAUUUGACAACUUUGCUGAAUUUGUUAAUUAUUCUGUUUUUAUAGAAUCGCUAUAAGAUCAUGUCAUUGGUGAAAAAAUAUAAUUUUACUCCCUAUCCAAUGUGGAUGCCUUUUAUUUUCUUGUCUAAUUGCUCUGGCUAGGACUUUCAGUACUAUCUUGAAUAGAAGUGGCAAAAGCGGGUAUCUUUGCCCUGUUGCUGAUCUUUGGGGAAAAGCUUUCAGUCGUUCACCAUUGAGUGUGAUGUUGGCUGUGGGUUUUUCAUGUAUGGGCUUUAUCAUAUUGAGGAAGUGUCUUUCUGUUCCUCGUUUAUUUAGUAUUUUUAUCAUGAAAAGGUGUUGAAUUUUGUCAAGUGCUUUUUCUGUAUCAAUUGAGAUGAUCAUGUGUUUUUUCCCCUUCUUUCUAAUGUGGUGUAUUACAUUGAUUUCAAUGUAUACAUUUUUUCUUUUUUCUUUUUUUAUUGAGAUAGGGUCUCGCUCCAUCACUCAGCCUGGACACAGCUCGCUGCAGCCUCAAUUCCUGGGCUCAAGUGAUCCUACCCCCUCGGCCUCCCGAGCAGCUGGGACAACAGUGUAUGGUCUACUUGGUGAAAGUUCCAUGUGCAACUGAAAAGAAUAUGAAGUGUGAAACGUAUGUGAAGAAUGAUGGUGGGACUCUGGUAUAAUCAUCUUGGAAAAAGUAUUUGUCAUUCUUGUGUUAAACAUAUACCUACCUAUGACCUAGCCAUUUCACUCGUAGAUGUUCAUCCAAGAGAACUGAAAAUGUAUGUCUACACAGAAAGUUUUACAUUAACAUUCAUUGUAGCUUCAUUUGUAAUAGCCAAAAACAACCCACCAGUAGGUGAGUGGAUAAACAAAAUUGGCGUAUCUAUACAAUGGACCACCACUUACCAAAAAAAACAAAAAAGAAAAAAAAAACAGCUCCUGAUACUGGCUUUUUAGAUGUACCUCUUUGUAUUUUAGUGGUUGCUCUAGAAGUUUACAUUGUACAUCUUUAUUAUAACCUACUUACUGUAUAUCUUUAUUAUAACCUACUUACUACCUACACCUUAUAUGUACUACUUCCCAUUAAGUGUAAGAACCUUGCAUCUGUAUAAUUAAUUCCAUUGGCAACCAUGUUUUUGCUAUUGCUGUCAUAUGUUUUUCAUUAAUAUAAACCCAAAUAUACAUUGUUAUAAUUCUUAAGUAAUCAGUAUUGUUUAAAGAAAAUAAGAGAAGGAAAAAUACGGUAUUUUUCUUUACCUGUAUAUUCCCACUUCCUGUACCCUUCAUUUCGGUCUGUCCAUCUAAGUUUCCAUCUGGGAAAAUUUCCCUUCUGCCUGCAGAACUUUUUACUGCAGUUUUUGUAGUGCAGGUCUGCUGGUAAGGAGUGAUCUUGGCUGACUUUAUCUGAAAUGCCUUUAUGUCUGUUUAGGGUUUGAAAAGUAGUUCACUGCACAUAGAUCUUGGAGUUGCCUUCUUUUUUUUUUUUUUUUUUUUUUUUAAGACGGGGUUUCACCAUGUUGGCCAGGCUGGUCUCAAACUCCUGACCUCAAGCGAUCCGCCCACCUCGGCCUCCCAGAGGGCUGGGAUUACAGGUGUGAGCCACUGUGCCUGGCCCGGAGUUGGCUUUUUCUUCUUUCUGCCCAUACACUUUUUUCUGAUGGGAAGUUGCCAGGCGUGUACAACAUGUCCCGGCUGCUUUCAAGGUUUUCUCUUAAUCUUGGGGUGUCCAAGAGUUUGACUGUGAUAGGCCUGGCUGUGUUUCUUUAUCCUUAUAUUGCUUGGAGUUUGCUGUGAUUCUUUGAUGUUUGUCAACAAAUUCAUGAAACUUUAGGUCAUUGUUUCUUCAGUUUUUUUUUCCUGCCUCAUUCUCUCUCCUCUCCUGA
rnacentral:lncRNA from 1 species